rnacentral:rRNA from 1 species
CCACCUGACCCCAUGCCGAACUCAGAAGUGAAACGCCGUAGCGCCGAUGGUAGUGUGGGGCUUCCCCAUGCGAGAGUAGGGAACUGCCAGGC